rnacentral:misc_RNA from 1 species
UAAAGUGCGAAAUGUAGUGGGAAAUGCACGGCCUGUGAAUCAUCAAAUCUUUGAACGCAACUUGCGCCCUUCGGGGCAUGUCUGUCCGUGCGGAAAAGCACAAGUGAGGUGGGGCGCUGCGGUGCCCUGAAAAGUAUCUAUCUAGCUAGUGUCUGGAGGCGUAGCGAUACAAUCGCCAGACAAGCAUUAAUCAAACCCACGGACAGGCAAGAGGACCCGCUGAACUUAA